rnacentral:rRNA from 1 species
CCUACGGGCGGCAGCAGUGGGGAAUAUUGGGCAAUGGGCGCAAGCCUGACCCAGCAACGCCGCGUGAAGGAAGAAGGCUUUCGGGUUGUAAACUUCUUUUCUGAGGGACGAAGAAAGUGACGGUACCUCAGGAAUAAGCCACGGCUAACUAGGUGCCAGCAGCCGCGGUAAUACGUAGGUGGGAAGCGUUAUGCGGAUUUAGUGGGUGUAAAGGGCGUGUAGGCGGGAAAGCAAGUCAGAUGUGAAAACUCAGGGCUCAACCCUGAGUCUGCAUUUGAAACUGUUUUUCUUGAGUGCGGGAGAGGCAAUCGGAAUUCUGUGUGUAGCGGUGAAAUGCGUAGAUAUACGGAGGAACACUAGUGGCGAAGGCGGAUUGCUGGACAGUAACUGACGCUGAGGCGCGAAAGCGUGGGGAGCAAACAGGAUUAGAUACCCGAGUAGUC